rnacentral:rRNA from 1 species
UACGAAGGGGGCUAGCGUUGCUCGGAAUUACUGGGCGUAAAGGGCGCGUAGGCGGCACUGUUAGUCAGGCGUGAAAUUCCUGGGCUCAACCUGGGGACUGCGCUUGAUACGGCAGAGCUUGAGGAUGGAAGAGGGUCGCGGAAUUCCCAGUGUAGAGGUGAAAUUCGUAGAUAUUGGGAAGAACACCGGUGGCGAAGGCGGAGACCUGGUCCAUUACUGACGCUGAGGCGCGACAGCGUGGGGAGCAAACAGG